rnacentral:sRNA from 1 species
UCAUGAACAACGCAAAAAAUCACGUUCUUCAAAAGCGUUCCUGCGAGGACUUAGUGCCUAUGAACCACGGAAAUCGUCAUAAAGAAACGGAGAUCGAGUACAGCUUGACUGUACAGAGUCGAUCUUGGGUGCAGUGCCUGCCUGACCUUCGGGUCCUGUGGUAGGAACUGCAAUGAUUGACACUACAA